CGCCAGACUCCUACGGGAGGCAGCAGUGGGGAAUAUUGCACAAUGGGGGAAACCCUGAUGCAGCGACGCCGCGUGAGCGAUGAAGUAUUUCGGUAUGUAAAGCUCUCUCAGCAGGGAAGAAGAUGACGGUACCUGACUAAGAAGCCCCGGCUAACUACGUGCCAGCAGCCGCGGUAAUACGUAGGGGGCAGGCGUUAUCCGGAUUUACUGGGUGUAAAGGGAGCGUAGACGGCGAUGCAAGCCAGAUGUGAAAGCCCGGGGCUCAACCCCGGGACUGCAUUUGGAACUGUGUGGCUGGAGUGUCGGAGAGGCAGGCGGAAUUCCUAGUGUAGCGGUGAAAUGCGUAGAUAUACGGAGGAACACCAGUGGCGAAGGCGGCCUGCUGGACAUUAACUGACGCUGAGGCGCGAAAGCGUGGGGAGCAAACAGGAUUAGAUACCCCCGUA
rnacentral:rRNA from 1 species